rnacentral:rRNA from 1 species
UAAUACCCGAUGUGCCGAGAGGUGAAACUAUAUGGCCUGAGGAUGAGCUCGCGUCUGAUUAGCUAGUUGGUGGGGUAAGGGCCCACCAAGGCGACGAUCAGUAGCUGGUCUGAGAGGAUGAUCAGCCACACUGGGACUGAGACACGGCCCAGACUCCUACGGGAGGCAGCAGUGGGGAAUUUUCCGCAAUGGGCGAAAGCCUGACGGAGCAAGACCGCGUGAGGGAGGAAGGCCUAUGGGUUGUAAACCUCUUUUGAUAGGGAAGAAGAACAUGACGGUACCUAUCGAAUCAGCCUCGGCUAACUCCGUGCCAGCAGCCGCGGUAAUACGGAGGAGGCAAGCGUUAUCCGGAAUUAUUGGGCGUAAAGCGUCCGUAGGUGGCGAAUCAAGUCAGUUGUUAAAGCGUGGAGCUUAACUCCAUACCAGCAGUGGAAACUGGUUGGCUAGAGUGCGAUAGGGGCAAGGGGAAUUCCCAGUGUAGCGGUGAAAUGCGUAGAUAUUGGGAAGAACACCGGUGGCGAAAGCGCCUUGCUGGGCCUGCACUGACACUGAGGGACGAAAGCUAGGGGAGCGAAAGGGAUUAGAUACCCCAGUAGUCC